rnacentral:rRNA from 1 species
AUGCGUCGUCGCCCCCAACCCCACUCCUCCCUCUGGAUCUCGACGCGCCGCCGCCCCCACCCCACUCCCUCCCACGCUGUCCACCGGCGUUCUCACACUCUCACCGCUCGGCCCUCUCAUCCGCCUCCCGUCCCCUCGGCGGCGGCGCCCUCCCCAUCGCUAUCCCCCAACCCCGGCAGCCAGAUCCCGCUCAGGCUCACAUCGGGCUCCUCAUCGUCCUCCUCGACCUGCUCCUCCCGCCCGCGCUCCUCUCCAACUUCCUCCGCGCCGGCGUCCACCACGCCUCCGCGCACAGCCUCCUCGACCAGGCUAGGGGCUUCCACUUUCGCUCCUCCCUCGUCAACCUCCCCGCCGUCUCCGCCGCCCGCUCCCUCCUCAUCCUCUGCGCGUACACGGCAUGCGGGGGCGGCGGCCUGCAGCAUCGGCUCCCUCUUCUACGUCCUCGCCAAGGCCGUCGCGGUCUUUGGCGUGGUCGCCGACGGCGCCGCCGGCCUCGAGCUGCACGGCAAGGGCCAGCUCCUCGCCUUGGCCUACCGGGCCAGCAGCCGGGAGAAGCGCUGGCUGCACGUCGUCUACAGGAUCAACAUCGAAGUAGCGACCUCCAUGGACGACAUCGACGAUGAAGACAAUGACGAGGGGCCUGUAACAAGAAUGAGAGCCCUCUUGUUCAUAGGGGCGUUGAUCCGGACGACCGAAUGA